GUGGCUGUUGUGUAUGUGGCUGUAGUGUUUAUGUGUGUGUGUGUGUGUGGCUGUUGUGUAGUGUUGUGUAGUGCUGUUGUGUAGUGUUGUGUAUGUGGCUGUUGUGUGUGUAUGUGUUGUGUAUGUGGCUGUUGUGUAUGUGGCUGUUGUGUAGUUGGCUGUUGUGUGUGUGUGUAGGGUUGUGUAGUGGUGUGUGUGUGGCUGUUGUGUGUGUGGCUGUUGUGUAUGUGGCUGUUGUGUGUGUGGCUGUUGUGUAUGUGGCUGUUGUGUAGGGGUGUGUAGUUGGCUGUUGUGUAGUUGACUGUUGUGUAUGUGGCUGUUGUGUAGUUUUGUGUAGUUGGCUGUUGUGUAGUUGGCUGUUGUGUAGUUGUGUGUAGUUGGCUGUUGUGUAGUUGACUGUUGUGUAUGUGGCUGUUGUGUAUGUGGCUGUUGUGUAGGUGUUGUGUAGUUGGCUGUUGUGUAGAUGGCCGUUGUGUAGUUGUGUAGGGUUGUGUAGUUGGCUGUUGUGUAGUUGGCUGUUGUGUAUGUGGCUGUUGUGUAGUGUUGUGUAUGUGGCUGUUGUGUGUGUGGCUGUUGUGUAGUGUUGUGUUGUGUAGUGUCGUGUAGUGUUGUGUAUGUGGCUGUUGUGUGUGUGUAUGUGGCUGUUGUGUAGUGUUGUGUUGUGUAGUGUUGUGUAUGUGGCUGUUGUGUGUGUGUAUGUGGCUGUUGUGUAGUGUUGUGUAGGGUUGUGUAUGUGGCUGUUGUGUGUGUGUCUGUUGUGUGUGUGGCUGUUGUGUAUGUGGCUGUUGUGUAGGUGUGUGUAGUUGUGUACGUGGCUGUUGUGUAGUUGUGUGUGUAGGUGUGUGUGUCUGUUGUGUAGUGUUGUGUGUGUGGCUGUUGUGUAGUGUUGUGUAGUGUUGUGUAUGUGUCUGUUGUGUAUGUGGCUGUUGUGUAGUGCUGUUGUGUAGUUGGCUGUUGUGUAGUGUUGUGUAGUGUUGUGUAUGUGGCUGUUGUGUAUGUGUCUGUUGUGUGUGUGGCUGUUGUGUGUGUGGCUGUUGUGUGUGUGGCUGUUGUGUGUGUGGCUGUUGUGUAUGUGUCUGUUGUGUAUGUGGCUGUUGUGUAGUGUUGUGUAGUGUUGUGUGUGUGGCUGUUGUGUGUGUGUGGCUGUUGUGUAGGGUGUGUAGUUGGCUGUUGUGUAGUGUUGUGUGUGUGGCUGUUGUGUAGUGUUGUGUAGGUGGCUGUUGUGUAGUUGUGUAUGUGGCUGUUGUGUGUGUGUGGCUGUUGUGUAGGGCGUGUAGUUGGCUGUUGUGUAGGGUUGUGUAGGUGGCUGUUGUGUAGUAGUGUUGUGUAGUAGUGUUGUGUAUGUGACUGUUGUGUAUGUGGCUGUUGUGUGUGUGUGUGUUGUGUGUGUGUAGUGUUGUGUAGUGUUGUGUAUGUGUCUGUUGUGUAGGUGGCUGUUGUGUAGUGGUGUGUAUGUGGCUGUUGUGUAUGUGGCUGUUGUGUAGGUGUGUGUGUGUGUGUGUGUGUGUAUGUGUGUGUGUGUAUGUAGGUGUUGCGUAGGUGGCUCUUCCCAAAUUCGGUGGAAGGGAGGUAGAAUGGAGACGACCGCUGACACU
ensembl:lncRNA